rnacentral:rRNA from 1 species
GAUGAACGCUGGCGGCGUGCCUAAUACAUGCAAGUCGAGCGAACAGACGAGGAGCUUGCUCCUCUGACGUUAGCGGCGGACGGGUGAGUAACACGUGGAUAACCUACCUAUAAGACUGGGAUAACUUCGGGAACCCGGAGCUAAUACCGGAUAAUAUAUUGAACCGCAUGGUUCAAUAGUGAAAGACGGUUUUGCUGUCACUUAUAGAUGGAUCCGCGCCGCAUUAGCUAGUUGGUAAGGUAACGGCUUACCAAGGCGACGAUGCGUAGCCGACCUGAGAGGGUGAUCAGCCACACUGGAACUGAGACACGGUCCAGACUCCUACGGGAGGCAGCAGUAGGGAAUCUUCCGCAAUGGGCGAAAGCCUGACGGAGCCACGCCGCGUGAGUGAUGAAGGUCUUCGGAUCGUAAAACUCUGUUAUUAGGGAAGAACAAAUGUGUAAGUAACUAUGCACGUCUUGACGGUACCUAAUCAGAAAGCCACGGCUAACUACGUG